rnacentral:rRNA from 1 species
AUUGAACGCUGGCGGCAGGCUUAACACAUGCAAGUCGAGCGGGGUGAUGGUGCUUGCACUAUCACUUAGCGGCGGACGGGUGAGUAAUGCUUAGGAAUCUGCCUAUUAGUGGGGGACAACAUCUCGAAAGGGAUGCUAAUACCGCAUACGUCCUACGGGAGAAAGAAGGGGAUCACUUGUGACCUUGCGCUAAUAGAUGAGCCUAAGUCGGAUUAGCUAGUUGGUGGGGUAAAGGCCUACCAAGGCGACGAUCUGUAGCGGGUCUGAGAGGAUGAUCCGCCACACUGGGACCGGGACACGGCCCAAACUCCUACGGGAGGCAGCAGUGGGGAAUAUUGGACAAUGGGGGGAACCCUGUUCCAGCCAUGCCGCGUGUGUGGAGAAGGCCUUAUGGUUGUAAAGCACUUUAAGCGAGGAGGAGGCUCUUUUGGUUAAUACCCAAGAUGAGUGGACGUUACUCGCAGAAUAAGCACCGGCUAACUCUGUGCCAGCAGCCGCCGUAA